AACGAACGCUGGCGGCAUGCCUAACACAUGCAAGUCGAACGAGACCUUCGGGUCUAGUGGCGCACGGGUGCGUAACGCGUGGGAACCUGCCCUUAGGUUCGGAAUAACUCCCCGAAAGGGGUGCUAAUACCGGAUAAUGUCUUCGGACCAAAGAUUUAUCGCCUUUGGAUGGGCCCGCGUUGGAUUAGGUAGUUGGUAGGGUAAAAGCCUACCAAGGCGACGAUCCAUAGCUGGUCUGAGAGGAUGAUCAGCCACACUGGGACUGAGACACGGCCCAGACUCCUACGGGAGGCAGCAGUGGGGAAUAUUGGACAAUGGGCGAAAGCCUGAUCCAGCAAUGCCGCGUGAGUGAUGAAGGCCUUAGGGUUGUAAAGCUCUUUUACCCGGGAUGAUAAUGACAGUACCGGGAGAAUAAGCUCCGGCUAACUCCGUG
rnacentral:rRNA from 1 species